rnacentral:rRNA from 1 species
GACUAUGGCCAUGCCACUCUGAACAAACCCGAUCCACUCUGAUCUCGGAAGCUAAGCAGGGUCCGGCCUGGUUAAUACUUGGAUGGGAGAAUACCUAGGAAGACCAGGUGCUGUAGGUA